GCUGGUGUGGGAGUCCACACCUGUAAUCCCAGGUACUCAGGAGGCUGAAGCAGGAGGAUCACCUGAGUCCAGAAGUUCUAGGCUGUGGUGCUCUAUACCAGUCAGGUGUCCGCACUAAAAUUGACAUCAACAUGGCAUCCUCCCAGGAGCAGGGGACCACAUGGUUGCCUAAAGAAGGGUGAACCAGCCCAGGUCAACAAUGGAGCACGAUGAAACUCUUGUGCUGGUCAGUAUUGGGAUUGCUCCUGUGAAUAGCCACCGCACUCCAUCCUGAGCAACCUAGUGAGACCACCGUCUCU
ensembl:misc_RNA Metazoa_SRP Metazoan signal recognition particle RNA